UAAGCGGAGGAAAAGAAACUAACAAGGAUUCCCCUAGUAACUGCGAGUGAAGCGGGGAAAGCUCAAAUUUGGAAUCUGGUGGUCUUUGGCCAUCCGAGUUGUAAUUUAGAGAAGCGUCUUNCGCGCUGGACCGUGCACAAGUCUCCUGGAAUGGAGCGUCAUAGAGGGUGAGAAUCCCGUCUUUGGCAUGGAAUCCCAGGGCUUCUGUGAUGCGCUCUCGACGAGUCGAGUUGUUUGGGAAUGCAGCUCAAAAUGGGUGGUGAACUCCAUCUAAAGCUAAAUAUUGGCGAGAGACCGAUAGCGAACAAGUACCGUGAGGGAAAGAUGAAAAGCACUUUGGAAAGAGAGUGAAACAGUACGUGAAAUUGUUGAAAGGGAAACGCUUGAAGUCAGUCGCGUCGACCGAGACUCAGCCUUGCCUCGGCUUGGUGUACUUCUCGGCUUGACGGGUCAGCAUCGAUUUCAAUCCUCGGAUAAUGGCAAGGGAAAGGUAGCACCUUUUUAGGUGUGUUAUAGUCCUCUGUCGCAUGCGAGGGUCGGGAUCGAGGAACUCAGCACGCACCUCAGGGUGUCGGGGCCUUGGCCCACGUUUACGUGCUUAGGAUGCUGGCGUAAUGGCUUUAAACGGCC
rnacentral:rRNA from 1 species